rnacentral:rRNA from 1 species
GACGAACGCUGGCGGCGUGCCUAAUACAUGCAAGUCGAACGCAGUGGGGACGGGUGAGUAACACGUGGGUAACCUCCCAUCAGAGGGGAUAACACUUGGAAACAGGUGCUAAACCGAUACUGAUGGAUGGACCCGCGGUGCAUUAGCGAGUUGGGGGGGUAACGGCUCACCAAGGCCACGAUGCAUAGCGGACCGGAGAGGGUGGUGGGCGAAACGGGGACUGAGGCACGGCCCAGACUCCAACGGGAGGCAGCAGUAGGGAAUCUUCGGAAAUGGACGAAAGUCUGACCGGGCAACGACGCGUGAGUGAAGAAGGUUUUCGGAUCGAAGAACUCUGUUGUUAGAGAAGCGGUAUCUAACCAGAAAGCCACGGCUAACUACGUGCCAGCAGGCGCGGUAAUUC